rnacentral:ncRNA from 2 species
AGUUUGACUAAAGCGCCUGGACUAUCUUCCGUUCGGAAAGAAGGUAGUUGACGAGGAGGAGGUUCAUCGAGUAUCGGCGGAUGCCUCCCGGUUGGAUUCACCUCAAUCGUAAGCUUUUAUUCUAAAACAAAGGGGUGACCCUUUGCACAAAGAAUCGAAGCAAGGUGAUU